UACGUAGGGUGCAAGCGUUGUCCGGAAUUAUUGGGCGUAAAGAGCUCGUAGGCGGUCUGUCGCGUCGGCUGUGAAAACUCGGGGCUCAACUCCGAGCUUGCAGUCGAUACGGGCAGGCUAGAGUUCGGCAGGGGGAGACUGGAAAUUCCUGGUGUAGCGGUGAAAAUGCGCAGAUAUCAGGAGGAACACCGGUGGCGAAGGCGGGUCUCUGGGCCGAUACUGACGCUGAGGAGCGAAAGCGUGGGGAGCGAACAGG
rnacentral:rRNA from 1 species